rnacentral:misc_RNA from 1 species
AACGCAUAUUGCGCUCUCUGGUAUUCCGGAGAGCAUGCUUGUUUGAGUAUCAGUAAACACCUCAACUCUAUUUCUUCUUGAAAUGGAGCUGGACUUGAGUGAUCCCAACGCUUUUUUCAAAAGUGGCGGGUUACUUGAAAUGCAGGUGCAGCUGGACUUUUCUCUGAGCUAAAAGCAUAUCUAUUUAGUCUGCCUAAAAAACAGAUUAUUACCUUUGCUGCAGCUAACAUAAAGGAGAUUAGUUCUUGUGCUGACUGAUGCAGGAUUCACAGAGACCGCUUCGGCUGUCUUUGUAAACUCGAUCUCAAAUCAAGUAAGACUACCCGCUGAACUUAA